UCGAGACCGCGAGUAGCGAGUUUGUCUUCACAUUACAAGUCGAUAUCGAUCAUCUAUGUUAGCUCAUCAUAGACUCCUUUCCCUUUGUUGAUUGUGGAUCAUAUGUUACUCUAUGUGUCCGGUGAUCUAGCACUCGUGUGAUUGAUUCUAUGUCGGUUUAGUGUUUCUCUCUUGUUUUCCCCGUGUUCCCCUUUGUGAUUUCCGCACGUUCCUCGUGUUCUCCCGUAGGAUCCCCUCCAAACGUGAAAGAUCGACCACUUAGGGUUCCGCCCUACAUCAAAGGACCAUGUGUGUAUGUAGAAAACACACACAAGAAACACUGAAUAUCACUAGUCACCCUGCACACAACAAGUUUCAGAUGUUCAGAACAGAUCAACAUGUUGAGCAGUUAGGGAAUCACGAGAAGGAAGUGGGAGGGUGGAUCAUGAUGGUCUCACCUUAUUGCCGUCGUCCUCAUCCAACCCCGGUGACUAAGUACACAUCCAAGAAAGUUCACGAAUCCAUGGGUGCUAGCUUGUCUACCAGCUCCAGCAGCAUUCUGCCCCUGGAUGCCACAAAACAACCUGACUUAUAAGCAUAGAUAGAGAAGAUUAAAAGAGAAACAACACACUAAUGCUACAAUGCCUCAUAGUAUAAUUUUACUAUAGCCAACAACACUUAAAGAAAUAAUAUCUAUAGAUGAUUCCAUACAAAGUAGAACAGUUUUACUACAAUGCACACAAGCUACUGGUGACUGGUUAUAUUGGUUCAUUGUCAUUAAAUUAAAAAAGAACAAAAGGAACAAACAAAGAGUACAAGAACAAACAAAGCUCAUUGUCUAAUUUCAUUUUAGCUAACAGGACAGAACUACCACAAUCCCCACUCAUACAGGAAGUCCACAAUGGUGGGAGCCGACUUUCCCUACAAUGUAAGCCAGCUACUGAAUAUAUUUAGGUGCAUCAUCUGACACUAUGGAUGGUCUAGUUGCAUAGCAGAUUACAAGUACAUUAAUAGCAAAUUACGAACUAAUGUACUUUGGUGGCCUCACGAUCCUUCUUGUUGCAACAAAGACAAUAUCCUGUGCAAGAGAAGCACAUUUAUCAAAUUUCAUUGUUUCAAAUUUUAACAUCAUUUUAGAGUACAAACAAACUCCUCUAGCUAAACAUGUCACAGUUUUUAUAGUGAUGAUCUUGGACAAAGUGCAAGGGGCUCAAGUAUAUAACCAAUAAGCUUGGAGGCAAAGAUUUAUAGUACAAGCAUGAAAAUUAGAACAACAGAUGAUUUUCUGCCCGCAAAUGAUUUCACUUGUUAUGUGACACUAUCAUACUAUAUUAAAAUGCAAUGACAGUCUACUCAAUACAAGCCUACGUUUGUAACGAUCCUGAACUUUUGAAUGCAUGCCAGCAGCAACUGACUCCAUUUGCUGGGAAACUUUCAGCCAUAUAUAACACAAUGCCAUACCAAAAUGCCUGUUCCUGCAAAACCACCAUGACAAAAGUAAGGGUAAUCAAUGGGUGGGAUACAUCUAAUCAGUAGCCAGGACAGAGCUACAUUUCAGCAGCACAAAAGACUUUUCUUGUGACCCACCACAGCAAGCUUGUUGUAAGCUGUAUAGGUCAAAAAGUAGACGCC
rnacentral:lncRNA from 1 species